AUGUUCGGCUUAUUUCCUCACCAGGUGGCAGCACUGCCUUCUUUGGACACAGAAACUGUGGCGGCGAAUGCGCCACUGUGUUUUGCACUGUGUGGAGUCCGUGCGGUGUCGGUUCGGGGGACUGAAUUUCGGUGAAUUUGAUAGCAAUUGAUUUGAAUUUUGCUCAGAUGGGUUGUGAAUUUAUAUUCAGCAAGUGUCACAAACAUGGAAAGGCAAGUUUACAAAGGACAGGAGACUUAGAAAGGCUUCAGUUGACGUAGCCGAAGAGAGGCGAGAAGCCGAAGAUAGACCGACUCCAAACGGUGCCCAGUGCAAUAAUGUUUCUGGUGCGGAGUCGUCAGGAUGGAGUCCGAGGAAUCAAGGAAGGCAGAGGACCUGCGUAUGAAGGAACCAGCCCUGCGGAUGAAGUUCUGAGGUGCAUACAGAGGAAUCCCACUGAAAGACCAGGUGCAAUGCUGCAUUGAUAAGAUCCAGGUUCAAGAGCAUGGAUGCUACCAGAUCCUGUGAUUUGAAGUUACCAGUGUCACUGCUGCUACAAAUGACAUCAGCAACACUUCCUUUGGUGAAAGUUUAGAGGAGCAAACAGUUGGUGCUC